CAGCCGCCGCGGUAGUACGUAGGUGGCAAGCGUUGUCCGGAAUUAUUGGGCGUAAAGGGCUCGCAGGCGGUUUCUUAAGUCUGAUGUGAAAGCCCCCGGCUCAACCGGGGAGGGUCAUUGGAAACUGGGAAACUUGAGUGCAGAAGAGGAGAGUGGAAUUCCACGUGUAGCGGUGAAAUGCGUAGAGAUGUGGAGGAACACCAGUGGCGAAGGCGACUCUCUGGUCUGUAACUGACGCUGAGGAGCGAAAGCGUGGGGAGCGAACAGGAUUAGAUACCCGUGUAGUCCCUGUCUCUUAUAC
rnacentral:rRNA from 1 species